rnacentral:rRNA from 1 species
GACGAACGCUGGCGGCGUGCUUAACACAUGCAAGUCGAACGGAAAGGCCCUGCUUUUGUGGGGUGCUCGAGUGGCGAACGGGUGAGUAACACGUGAGUAACGUGCCCUUGACUUUGGGAUAACUUAAGGAAACUGGGGCUAAUACCGGCUAGGAGCUCCUGCUGCAUGGUGGGGGUUGGAAAGUUUCGGUGGUUGGGGAUGGACUCGCGGCUUAUCAGCUUGUUGGUGGGGUAGUGGCUUACCAAGGCUUGGACGGGUAGCCGGGCUGGGAGGAUGACCGGCUCAGUUGGAAUGGGAAUGCGGCACGGACCAGAAUGGGAGGCAGGAGAGGAGUAUAGUGCACAAUGGGAGGAAGCAUGAUGCAGCAACGCAGCGUGGGGGAUGACGUGCUUCGGUUAGUAUUGUGAUGCCGCCUGUGACGAAGCGUGAGUGACGGUAAUGGGUAAAGAAGCACCGGCUAACUACGUG